rnacentral:misc_RNA from 1 species
GAUGAAGAACGUAGCGAAAUGCGAUAAGUAAUGUGAAUUGCAGAAUUCAGUGAAUCAUCGAAUCUUUGAACGCACCUUGCGCUCUUUGGUAUUCCGAAGAGCAUGCCUGUUUGAGUGUCAUGAAAAUAUCAACCUUGACUUGGGUUUUGUGCUCUAGUCUCGGCUUGGAAUUGGGUGCUUGCCGCUUUUACGAGCGGCUCACCUUAAAUGUAUUAGCUGGAUCUGUCUUUGAGACUUGGUUUGACUUGGCGUAAUAAGUAUUUCGCUAAGGACAUUCUUCGGAGUGGCCUCGUUUCUAGGACGCUUGUCCGCUUUCCAAUACAAGUUCCACCUCGUGGACAUGACUUUUUAUUAUCUGGCCUCAAAUCAGGUAGGACUACCCGCUGAACUUAAGCAUAUCUAUAAGCGGAGGA